GAUGAACGCUAGCUACAGGCUUAACACAUGCAAGUCGAGGGGAAACGGCAUUAAGUGCUUGCACUUUUUGGACGUCGACCGGCGCACGGGAGAGUAACGCGUAUCCAACCUUCCCAUGACUAAGGGAUAACCUGCCGAAAGGCAGACUAAUACCUUAUGGUCUUCACUGACGGCAUCAGAUGUGAAGUAAAGAUUUAUCGGUUAUGGAUGGGGAUGCGUCUGAUUAGCUUGUUGGCGGGGUAACGGCCCACCAAGGCAACGAUCAGUAGGGGUUCUGAGAGGAAGGUCCCCCACAUUGGAACUGGGACACGGUCCAAACUCCUACGGGAGGCAGCAGUGUGGAAUAUUGGUCAAUGGGCGAGAGCCUGAACCAGCCAAGUAGCGUGCAGGAUGACGGCCCUAUGGGUUGUAAACUGCUUUUGUAUGGGGAUAAAGUCAAUCACGUGUGAUUGUUUGCAGGUACCAAACGAAUAAGGACCGGCUAAUUCCGUG
rnacentral:rRNA from 1 species